rnacentral:lncRNA from 10 species
AAAGGCUGGAACAACAAAUGAAUACAGGAAUGAUGCUAAUAUAAAAAUACAAACCCUAAAUUUUCUUUAUAUAUUUUGAGGGUAAGCUAGUUUCAGAUUUUUCUCUAAGGUUUUGUAGGAAGAGAAAAAUUGGUCACACUAACGCCAUUUUAAAAUAUGCCCCCAUCUGUAAGAGGCAGAGCCACCUGAGGUGAAAAGGUAAACGGCUUGUGUAAGAUUUGGCUGAAAGUCCAGAAAUUAACUCAAGUCCUGGAACAUGUCCUGGGACACUCCCCCGGAACGAUUGUUCAAGUCCUGGAGUACGUUUCGGAACGCUGCUCCCGGAACACCGCUCCUGGAGCGAUUGUUUCAAUGUUGCUUGCUCGGAAUGGCCCUCCUGAGCAAACAACAGACGGUGCUCAAAGUAACAACUGGACUUAAUAAAAGGAGCUUACACGAAGGAGGAGCUGAAGGCUGCUGUGGUCGUGUGCUGGGGGCUGCCCCAGCUCCAGCUGCAGGACCCCGGCCGUCUGCCUUCCGACUCCGGUGAUGAUUCUUCCUGCGGUCUGAUCAAGAUUCUAUGCAGUUAACUUUGUAUCCAAGGAUCUAUAGCCAAGAAAUUUGGAGCUCAGUUUCAAACAUGAACCAGAGUUAAGCGGGCCCUCCAUUUCCUGGCCACACAUUGUCAAUGUGGAAGAUCUCUGGCCAUGAGUUAAAGGUCACCCACGAUACCAAAUUGCAAAUUGUGUUGAGAAUGGAGAGCAUUUGCAAAGCUGGAAUGAAUACACAAAACAUGUUUAUUUACAUCACUCAGGGUCACAAUUGGCUUCAAUGUAUAGCCUCGCCAAGCAUUACAGCAGAGAAGCUUUUGUGCAAAGUGAGCGGAGCACCAGAAGAAAUCUUAAAAGUUUGAGAAGAAAAUAUGGUAAAUAACUAAGAGAAAUCUCUGGUCAAUACUCAACAAGUCCUUCAGUCCAACAAUAUUCCAUACAUGAAAUCCUGCCAAAAACCAGACUCAGCACCAAACACACGAGAUGAAACAUAAGAUGCAUAAACACAACCCUUGCCUUUGAAGAAAAUUUGCACUAAUGGCAGAGAUGGGUGCUGUAUGAGUGAGCUGUGGCUGCCAUAGCAAGACAUCAUAGAUUGGAUGGCUUAAACAACAGAAAUUUAUUUUUUCACAGUUCUGGAGGCCAGAAAUCCCCAAUAAAGGUACUGACUGAUUAGGUGAGGGCUUUAUUUCUGCUGACAGACAACCACCUUCUUGUUGAGUUUUUAUACGGUCUUUUCUCUGUGGCUCAUAGAGAGAGACAGAGAGAGCUCUGGUGUUUUUUCCUCUUCUUAUUAGGACACCAGUCCUGUAUCACUAAGGCUCCAUCCUGAUGAUUCCACUUAGCCAGUAACUAUGGGAAUUAGGGCUUCAACAUACAAAUUUAGAGAAAUGUGAUUCCGUUCAUAACAGGUGCUUAACUAGAAUUCUGUAUGCACAUUGUUUUAUGAAAAAGCGACAUGAAACCUAAGGAUUUACUGUCUGUUGUAGAAUUUCUCAUAUAAAGAAGAACCUGAGGCAAGUACAGAAAUGUUACCUCCCUACCUUCUCAUUGGAAAGCAGCUCACAGAGAAUACAAUAGUUCUACCCACUAUGCCCGUAUAAUGCAAUGAUAUAUAUCCGUCACUAAAAUCUCCAUGCUUGUCUCACCCAACGUCUCAAACUAUGCUAUAACUAUUGGCGGAUCUCACAUAAUUGAGCAAUCUGAAUGAUGGAAUUGUACACUAGUUGAAUACAGGAGAUACUAUUUUACAUAGCACAGCAAAGCUCUCCCAUAACUCUACAAAUAGGGCUGAAAAAAUCAAAUACGUAAAAUGCAGCGUCAUGUUAUUGCAUGGUUAAUAAAAUUACUGACUCUUCUCAGCUAUCUGAGUGUUUUAGGUUCCUGAGAGCCAAGUCAGUCAUGUCAUUUCCGAAUUUUGGUGAUCAAAGGGUGGAUGAUCACAGUUUUACUCCAUUUCAACUUGAUUAUUAGUUACAUUAAAAAAAGGUUUUUCUAUGUGUGCUGUGAGACUGAUUCUCAUUUAGUAUGGUUUCAUUAAAAAUUAGGAUCCCUUUUUCCCUCUUGGUUAAGCCAGUAAGAUUGUAGAUUGUCAGACUCUGCCUUGUUCUUUUCCUGAAAUCCAAAGGUAAAAUGCAGUAACGAGAGUAGGGAUGCCAAUAAUGUGGAGGCAAGGAAAAAGCAGCUCCAGGGACAACAUCGGGAAGCGCGAUAGGAUGUUGGCUAAAAAGCUUGCUUUUUCACGUUAUGUCAGAUUUCACAUUCUAACUUCAUCAUUUCCUGGUUAAAGCAUCUUGAACAAAUCACUUUUUGAAUCACUUAGCACCAUGGCUUCUACAUUUCAAGCCCCAAAGGGUAGGAAUUAUUAUUAUUAAUGCUAUUACCAAAGAUGCUAACAAAGGAAAGGGUUUUCACUGUCCAACAUGGUUCAUGUUUAUGAAAUAUUUAUAAAUGGUGCUCACAUUCAAGAGCAAGCCUGUAGAGAUCUUUGGGCAAAUGCCUUGUUAAAGAGAAUUAAUCUAAAUAUUGUUUGUCAUUUGCUCAAGUACACUAAUUCUAUUAGUCUCAACUAUUCAAGGAUAAUCAUUGAAGGCCUAACUCCACAGGAACUGGAUUGAAGAUAAGAUUGGAGGACCACAAUUUCACCAGUACGUUACUUAGAAUAAGCAACUAGGUCCUCACAACAAUCCCUAUUUUCCAGAUGAGAGUGUUGAGGCUCAGAGAGGUAAGCAAAUUGUUUAACUUAUUCCAGCUCUCAAG